CUCCGGUUGAUCCCGCCGGACCCGACUGCUAUCAGAGUGGGACUAAGCCAUGCGAGUCAACGCAGCAAUGCGUGGCAUACGGCUCAGUAACACGUAGUCAACAUGCCCAGGGGACGUGGAUAACCUCGGGAAACUGAGGAUAAACCGCGAUAGGUCAUCACUUCUGGAAUGGGUAAUGACUUAAAUCUAUAUGGCCCCUGGAUUGGACUGCGGCCGAUCAGGCUGUUGGUGAGGUAAUGGCCCACCAAACCUGUAACCGGUACGGGCUCUGAGAGGAGGAGCCCGGAGAUGGGCACUGAGACAAGGGCCCAGGCCCUAUGGGGCGCAGCAGGCGCGAAACCUCUGCAAUAGGCGAAAGCUUGACAGGGUUACUCUGAGUGAUUUCCGUUAAGGAGAUCUUUUGGCACCUCUAAAAAUGGUGCAGAAUAAGGGGUGGGCAAGUCUGGUGUCAGCCGCCGCGGUAAUACCAGCACCCCGAGUGGUCGGGACGUUUAUUGGGCCUAAAGCAUCCGUAGCCGGUUCUACAAGUCUUCCGUUAAAUCCACCUGCUUAACAGAUGGGCUGCGGAAGAUACUAUAGAGCUAGGAGGCGGGAGAGGCAAGCGGUACUCGAUGGGUAGGGGUAAAAUCCGUUGAUCCAUUGAAGACCACCAGUGGCGAAGGCGGCUUGCCAGAACGCGCUCGACGGUGAGGGAUGAAAGCUGGGGGAGCAAACCGGAUUAGAUACCCGGGUAGUCCCAGCUGUAAACGAUGCAGACUCGGUGAUGAGUUGGCUUAUUGCUAACUCAGUGCCGCAGGGAAGCCGUUAAGUUUGCCGCCUGGGGAGUACGGUCGCAAGACUGAAACUUAAAGGAUUGGCGGGGGAGCA
rnacentral:rRNA from 1 species